rnacentral:misc_RNA from 1 species
ACCAGCCAGUCAGUCCGUGUUUGUACGCAAUCGGGAGAGCUUCACACACGAAAUUCCCAAUUAGUCAGCGAGGAAAUUUUAAUUUACCGUUUCAUUUCGGGACACCGCCGCCGUGUUUAGAACAUAUUGUGCAAAUUUAAAGUGACCCCAAAUCGUUCCGGUUGUGUUGAAGAGUGCAUCUCCGACAUAGAAACAGUGAAAAUCCCGUUCCAAAAGUGAGGCCUCCGCAGCAUUAGAAGAGGAGGGGCAAACCAGCAGCGGAGGUUGUAGAAAUAUCUGGACUUUAGUUGAUGUAAUUGUGUGCGCCAGUGUGAGCAAGCAAAAGGCAAGAAGAGCACACACGUCCAUCAUCGAAAGUAAGCGACUGCUUACAGUUUCCUGCCGUGGCCCCCCGGAACAUCGCCGGACACCUACGCAAAUUCCCAAUUUUGCAUGAUUUUGGCUUGUACCACAAAGCUGCUGCUUCGGAGACGUUCGUGCUGCGCGCAAUGAUUGUUCCCCUCAAAUAACUAACAUAGAGCAGUUCUAAAACCUGCGUGUAUUGAUAAUAAGAACCAAACAAAAAUCCGGAGAAACACUAGGUUCGUGUUCUUGUGAGUGCGUGUUAUUUUGCGAGAGAAAGUUUAGUAGACUAUCAAAAGUCCACUCAUCAAAUCGACCAAUCAAUCAAUCAACCAACAUCACCAGCAGCAGCCAGUUUCUGGACACGAAGCAUACUCCUGUUUGACAACAUAUUUUCACUCACUCUCGGGGGGGUGCCCGCAGUAGCUGCAACAACAACAACAACACCACCUUUAGCCACAGACAUAUACGCAAUCACGCAAACAUCUCGUAAUUCAUCCAACCGGCCGCGGCGAUACGAGUUUAUAUUGUUCACGCAUAAAGUUUCGCUAAUAGUGCUACUUCCAGCAUCAUCUCUCUUCGGGUAGCCACCAGCAGCAAUCAUUAGCACCACGAUGAAACGAAACGACACGCAAAUGAACGUUGCUGGCAUACGCAGGAACAUCAAGAACCUUGCCCACAACUAUUCCGAUGCACAGAUCAAGGUACGCGAGGCGACCUCCAACGAUCCAUGGGGACCGUCCUCCACGAUCAUGGCGGAGAUCGCCGACCUGACGUACAACGUGGUGGCCUUUUCGGAGAUUAUGCAAAUGAUCUGGAAGCGAACGAACGAUCACGGCAAGAACUGGCGCCACGUGUACAAGGCCUUGCUGCUGCUGGAAUAUCUGAUCAAAACCGGCACCGAAAAGGUCGCGCAGCAGUGCAAGGAGAACAUCUAUGCCAUCCAAACGUUGAAGGAUUUUCAGUACAUGGAAGAAGGUAAGGACCAAGGAAUGCACGUCCGUGAGAAGGCAAAACAGUUGGUGUCCCUGCUGAAGGAUGACGAGAGAUUGAAAAAUGAACGCGCCCGGGCCCUCAAGGCGAAGGAACGUUUUGCCAGGACGGCCAGCGGAUUCGGGUCGGACGGAUCCAUCGACGGACCAACCCAGCGAGAUUCACGGCCGCCCAACUGGGGUGAGGGUGAACCUACGGCGGCCGCUGCGGCGGCGGCUGCUGCAGCAGCAGGUCGACCAGUUUCCGAGAUUGAGUUUGUUCGGCCGCAAACCGUGGGCGAAGAGGAGCUACAGCUGCAGCUGGCGAUGGCAAUGUCCCGCGAAGAAGCCGAACAGGAAGAGCAGAAGCGACGAAGCGACGAUGUGCGGCUGCAGCUGGCACUGAGUCAAAGCGAACAGGACUUCAAAACUGACGAUAAACCCGAAAGUUCCGCUCUGGUGGAUCUGCUGGACAUUUCGUUCGGAGCCGCCGGUAUUUCCAGUCCGCACCAGCAGCCGGGACCGUCCACCAGCGUUGAUCCGUGGGGAGUGCCUGUCGCCGGAGGAUCGAGACCACAGACUACCGACCCCUGGUCGCGGACAUCGUCUCCUCCGGUGGCAGAUCCGUGGUUAAACAGUGCCUCCGCCCUGCCCCCGCCAGCAUCGUCGAAGCCACCGCUCAUGGGAGCAGCAGGACCUGGCGCAACGGGUGGACAGCUGGACGCCUGGGCCCCGUUGCGAACACAGUCGCCAUCGGUUACGUCCGGUUCGUCCGUCGAAGGAUGGCUGCAGAAUGGUGCUGGUGCAACGGCGCCAGCCGGAACAAAUGGAAACGUCGACCCGUGGCUCAACAAGUCAGCUACGCCUAGUGCGCCUCUAAACGACGCGUGGCAGCCCAAACGAGCCACUCCAGUGCCUACGGCCGAUCCUUGGCAAGCUAACGUUGGUGCGGCCAAACACGAUCCAUGGGCGCCAGUGUCCGGAAGUUCCGACGGAGCAUUCGCACUUCCUGCCAACCGACCAUCUCCUGUGGGAGCCAUUACCUCGCCUACAUCUGACCUUGAUGAGUUCGACAUCAUCACAAAGAGGAGCAACAAUGUCGUGAAUAACAACCUAAACAACAACGGAGGUUCCCUCCUGGACGAUCUGGACCCGCUGUCCUCAAGCAACACUAGCUCCACCAGCAAUUCCGCCUCGGCACCGGCGAAGAAAACGCCGGCGUCCUUCCUCGGGGAAAACUCGGCCUUGGUGAAUUUGGACAACCUAAUCAAGCCUAUCUCAACGGCACCCGGUGCAACGGGUAGCCCCGCGGCCUACAAUCCGUUUGGCGAAUCGGCGCCGGUGCAGAAAAACCUAUUCCAGCAGAAUCAACCACAGGUUCCGUCCAUCAACCAGUUGAAACAAUCGCCCUUCCCCGUGACGCUGGGAAGUGUUAACCAGGACCCCUGGGCUCCAGUCAACCCAACUGCCGCCGCGCAACCAAUGGGAGCUUGGACGCUAAAGUAAAGCACACACAAACACUCACCUAACAUAACAAGAAACAAGAGCUAAGCUAACCACCUGGCCGAACCUAUGAUAGCGCUAAAGAAAAACAGUCUGAAUAAUCUGAACAACAACAACGCUCCUUGGAUGAAUCCGCAGUCAUCGAAUCCAUUCCUAUCGUAAAGAGAGAAGAACUAAUGGCAAAUCCUGGACUGCAAGUCCAACCACAGAGUUAUUGCUAUCCAUUGAGAAAGAAGCAGCAGAUGCAGGCAAAUGCGCGCGUGGCAUGGAAAUAGAACAGAAACUAAAACGGUGGACGAUACUUAUGCACACACACACACCCUCAUUCUCCGAAUCGGUGUCGAUCAGCUAAACUUCUAGUUAGCUCAAUAAAACUGUGUAGUAGAAACAAGAAAAAAAAUGAUAGAAGCAAACAAUAGCAAAACCAAAUACUUGUUUUGUCGCGUCAUUUAUCAAUCACUGAGCCGAACAUUUAGCGACUGCUGAAAUGAUAAAAGAAAGAACUAAGAAACACAUUCAAAAUGCCUUACUACUUGUUUAAUAAAGAUAAAUAAAGCUGCUAGAACAACAAGAUAAACUCUUGAACUUGCUGUUGACUGCAAAUCGCUAAUGUGCAACAUUAAACUAGACUGUUCUAGCAUAAAAGACGAAAUAAGCAGAACAACAUAAUUUGGGUCACUGAAAUACUGACAAAAAGUUAGUGUAAUGAUGGUUGGGGGGGUAUUUUUUGUACGGCUAAACAUAACGACUACCACGAAUCAAUUUUGAACGUUUAUAUAAGCAAAACACAGAACUUUUUUCAUAAAUGUGAUAACUGUUACCACAUACUUUUACUAGAAACAAAAGUGUAGGUACAUCCAAAUAACUAUACGUCGUGACUGUGACAAACAAUUGGCUCUAGAUUUUUCUACUCAUCGGAACUUUCACGACAACAAACCUAAGCUGAACGAAGAAAAAACUCCCCACAAUGAGAUUCAUUUGCAAAUUAUUUUCCACACAAUUUCUAGCAUCGCUUACCGCGCCACGCCCCCCGCAUCUCGUGGGAGAUACACCCGACGACCACAUUGAGCUUUAUUUAAACGAAACACAACAAAAAAAAAAAAACAAAUAUUCGUUUCCAAUACUAUGGGUAACAUGCAAAGUAUUUUUUCAUUCUCUUGCGGUAAGAAAACAAAAAUAAGUAUCACUAAAAAUCAUAUUUUCUUUUAUUGGGUACUGUGAGAGUAGGAGAGGAACAGUUUUUUUUUUCUUGCAAAUAUUUAUUGAAACCUAGUUAUUAUUCGUCGUUAUGAGCAAGCAAAAAAGAUAAAAACACACAGUAAAGUAAACCGUAGUAUAUUCGAGUUUUGUUUGAACCUUGCUGCCUAACCAUCGGUGAUUUUGAGUUUUUCUUAGCUUGGAAUGAUUUUUUUUAACACGAUGGCAAGCUAAGAGAGGAUUAGGUGAGGAAAGGAUGGAAUGAACUGGUAUUUUAUUUUUCGUUCCUUCGAUAAAAUAUAGAUAUAUCUGAAACUGGACUUGUAAACAACAAUGAACUUUCUUUUCUAAAUUUAGACUACAAAUUGACUAAUUCUAAGGAAUACCCAUUCGAUGGGAAUCUGAUCAAUAUAAAAUGGAACUUGUAUAAAAUGAA